UCUGCUGAUGAAAACCAGCCCAGCCCUGACCCUGCAGCUCUGGGAGAGGAGCCCCAGAACUGGGAUUCCGAGGAGUUUCCAUUCGGUGAUCAGCACUGAACACAGAGGACUCGCCAUGGAGUUUGGGCUGAGCUGGGUUUUCCUUGUUGCUAUUUUAAAAGGUGUCCAGUGUGAGGUGCAGCUGGUGGAGUCUGGAGGAGGCUUGGUCCAGCCUGGGGGGUCCCUGAGACUCUCCUGUGCAGCCUCUGGAUUCACCUUCAGUAGCUACCACAUGAGCUGGGUCCGCCAGGCUCCAGGGAAGGGGCUGGAGUGGGUCUCAGUUAUUUAUAGUGGUGGUAGCACAUACUACGCAGACUCCGUGAAGGGCAGAUUCACCAUCUCCAGAGACAAUUCCAAGAACACGCUGUAUCUGCAAAUGAACAGCCUGAGAGCUGAGGACACGGCUGUGUAUUACUGUGCCAGAGACACAGUGAGGGGAGGUCAUUGUGCGCCCAGACACAAACCUCCCUGUAGGAACGCUGUGGGGGAAAUCAGCGGCAGGGGGCGCUCAGGAGCCACUGAUCAGAGUCAGCCCCGGAGGCAGGUGCAGAUGGAGGCUGAUCUCCUGUUAGGACGUGGGACUUCAUCUUCUUCCAACAGUUUCUCUAAUGAACCUCUCUAAUUUUAGAAUUCUGCA